AGAGUUUGAUCAUGGCUCAGAAUCAACGCUGGCGGCGUGCCUAACACAUGCAAGUCGAACGAGAAAGGGUAGCAAUACCUGAGUAAAGUGGCGCACGGGUGAGUAACACGUGACUAACCUACCCUGGAGUGGGGGAUAACUGAGGGAAACCUUAGCUAAUACCGCAUAACACCUACGGGUCAAAGGAGCAAUUCGCUUCAGGAGGGGGUCGCGGCCGAUUAGUUAGUUGGCGGGGUAAUGGCCCACCAAGACGAUGAUCGGUAUCCGGCCUGAGAGGGCGCACGGACACACUGGAACUGAAACACGGUCCAGACUCCUACGGGAGGCAGCAGUGGGGAAUUUUGCGCAAUGGGGGAAACCCUGACGCAGCAACGCCGCGUGGAGGAUGAAGUCCUUCGGGACGUAAACUCCUUUCGAUCGGGACGAUUAUGACGGUACCGGAAGAAGAAGCCCCGGCUAACUUCGUGCCAGCAGCCGCGGUAAUACGAGGGGGGCGAGCGUUGUUCGGAAUUAUUGGGCGUAAAGGGUGCGUAGGCGGUUUGGUAAGUCUUCUGUGAAAUCUAUGGGCUCAACUCAUAGACUGCAUGAGAAACUGCCGGGCUUGAGUGUGGGAGAGGUGAGUGGAAUUCCUGGUGUAGCGGUGAAAUGCGUAGAUAUCAGGAGGAACACCUGUGGCGAAAGCGGCUCACUGGACCAUAACUGACGCUGAUGUACGAAAGCUAGGGGAGCAAACAGGAUUAGAUACCCCAGUAGUCC
rnacentral:rRNA from 1 species